UACGGGGGGGGCAAGCGUUGUUCGGAAUUACUGGGCGUAAAGGGCUCGUAGGCGGCCAACUAAGUCAGACGUGAAAUCCCUCGGCUUAACCGGGGAACUGCAUCUGAUACUGGAUGGCUUGAGUUCGGGAGAGGGAUGUGGAAUUCCAGGUGUGGCGGUGAAAUGCGUAGAUAUCUGGAGGAACACCGGUGGCGAAGGCGGCAUCCUGGACCGACACUGACGCUGAGGAGCGAAAGCCAGGGGAGCAAACGGG
rnacentral:rRNA from 1 species